CGGGUACGUCAUAAAGUAUAAAUAAGAAUGCUUUGAGGUUAUUCGGUCUUUUGGAGGGCGAGUUGCAGUCGUGCAGCAUGUGACUUGAAUUCGUUAACGACUCCAAAUAACUCUUUGGGGAAAGAAGAGGGAGAUGUGCUUCACUAUUGGGCGUUGAGAAUACUUAAAGUUGUGCAUCCUUUAAUUAGAGUUGGUAAACUGACUUUCCUUUUUGAACAAAGGUUUUGGAUCUUUGGCACAUGACUGGAAAAAUUUGGGGCAUAUUUGACACCUUUUUUAAAACUGCCUUUUGAACAGAAAAAUCUGUUCUAAUAUUAAAGACUUUUGAUUCAUGGAAUUGGUUACAAAUUCAAAUUUUUAUGUCACCCCAUGAGAUGACAGAUUACUCAGCUUUAUGCCCUCCAGUUGAUUCCAGAAGGGGCUGAAUGUUGCCAGCUAUGUUAAGAAAAUAUGGUCAACGCUUGUGAAGUCCUAACUAAUCAAUGAUCUUAAGAUUGCCUAGCUUUUUUGCCCAUUCACAAGUACACCUGAUUUUGCAAGUAAUUAAAUGACUAGUAUAAAAUGUGCAGAAACAAGCUAUUACAGAUGUCAUUAAAGAGGGAUGUUUUGAUUUUGUAUAAUGUAAUUAUUUGUAAUUUGCCCAACAACCUAAAGUAUAUUAAACUAAUGUUUAUAUGGAUUAGAAAUAAAGAUGACUAAAAAAAUAAA